rnacentral:rRNA from 1 species
UGGGGAAUUUUGCACAAUGGGCGGAAGCCUGAUGCAGCGACGCCGCGUGGAGGAAGACGGUCUUCGGAUUGUAAACUCCUGUUAAGUGGGAAGAAAGACGUGUAGUUAAUACCUGCACGAGAUGACGGUACCACUAGAGAAAGCUCCGGCAAACUUCGUGCCAGCAGCCGCGGUAAUACGAAGGGAGCAAGCGUUAUUCGGAAUCACUGGGCGUAAAGGGCGCGUAGGCGGUUUGUUAAGUCAAUUAUUAAAGCCCACAGCUUAACUGUGGAUCUGUAGUUGAUACUGGCAGACUAAGAGGACGAGAGAGAGAAGUGGAAUUCUCGGAGUAGCGGUAAAAUGCGUAGAUCCCGAGAGGAACACCGAUAGCGAAGGCAGCUUCUUGGCUCGUACCUGACGCUGAGGCGCGAAAGCGUGGGGAGCAAACAGG